rnacentral:rRNA from 1 species
UGCCAGCCGCCGCGGUAACACGGGGGGCGCAAGCGUUAUUCGGAAUUAUUGGGCGUAAAGGGCGCGCAGGCGGUCUUGUCGGUCAGGUGUGAAGGCCCGGGGCUCAACCCUGGAAGUGCACUUGAAACAGCAAGGCUUGAAUACUGGAGAGGAGAGAGGAAUUCCUGGUGUAGCGGUGAAAUGCGUAGAUAUCGGGAAGAACACCAACGGCGAAAGCACUCUACUGGGCCAACACUGACACUGAGAGACGAAAGCUAAGGGAGCGAAAAGGAUUAGAUA